GGUUCAAAGUAUUAUAUGCUGUGAAACAAGAUGAAAUAAAUAGUGCAAGCGAUGAUACAUUUGAAGGUAGAGGUAGUCUUGUAGAAUGUUGAUCAUAACGGUUGUGCAGCGGCAAGGAGAGAUAUGAAUAAUAGAGUUAUGUGAAGCUGCAUGCACCAGUAGAGCUCAAAAUGACCAGUAGAGUGGCAUUGCAGGAGGUAAUAGAACAACCAUGAACUGAGC
rnacentral:lncRNA from 1 species